CCUACGGGUGGCUGCAGUGAGGAAUAUUGGUCAAUGGCCGGAAGGCUGAACCAGCCAAGCCGCGUGAAGGACGAAGGUGCCAAGCAUUGUAAACUUCUUUUGUCAAGGGACAAAAUCAGGCUCGAGAGCCUUACCGACGGUACUUGAAGAAAAAGCAUCGGCUAACUCCGUGCCAGCAGCCGCGGUAAUACGGAGGAUGCGAGCGUUAUCCGGAUUUAUUGGGUUUAAAGGGUGCGUAGGCGGGCUGUUAAGUCAGCGGUAAAAGCCCGGGGCUAAACCCAGGAGAGCCGUUGAAACUGGUUGUCUUGAGAUGUCGAGAGGUAGGCGGAAUGCGCAGUGUAGCGGUGAAAUGCGGAGAGA
rnacentral:rRNA from 1 species